rnacentral:rRNA from 1 species
AACGAACGCUGGCGGCAUGCCUAACACAUGCAAGUCGAACGAAGGCUUCGGCCUUAGUGGCGCACGGGUGCGUAACGCGUGGGAAUCUGCCCUUUGCUUCGGAAUAACAGUUAGAAAUGACUGCUAAUACCGGAUGAUGUCGCAAGACCAAAGAUUUAUCGGCAAAGGAUGAGCCCGCGUAGGAUUAGCUAGUUGGUGGGGUAAAGGCCUACCAAGGCGACGAUCCUUAGCUGGUCUGAGAGGAUGAUCAGCCACACUGGGACUGAGACACGGCCCAGACUCCUACGGGAGGCAGCAGUGGGGAAUAUUGGACAAUGGGCGGAAGCCUGAUCCAGCAAUGCCGCGUGAGUGAUGAAGGCCUUAGGGUUGUAAAGCUCUUUUACCCGGGAUGAUAAUGACAGUACCGGGAGAAUAAGCUCCGGCUAACUCCGUG